rnacentral:rRNA from 1 species
UACGGGGGGUGCGAGCGUUGUCCGGAAUCACUGGGCGUAAAGGGCGCGUAGGCGGCUUUUUAAGGGUGCGGUGAAAGCCCGGGGCUUAACCCCGGGUCGGCCGUGCCGACUGAAAAGCUGGAGCACUGUAGAGGCAGGUGGAAUUCCGGGUGUAGCGGUGGAAUGCGUAGAGAUCCGGAAGAACACCAGUGGCGAAGGCGGCCUGCUGGGCAGUUGCUGACGCUGAGGCGCGACAGCGUGGGGAGCAAACAGG